rnacentral:rRNA from 1 species
GACGUAGGGCGCGAGCGUUGUCCGGAUUUAUUGGGCGUAAAGAGCUCGUAGGCGGCUUGUUGCGUCGACUGUGAAAACCCGCGGCUUAACUGCGGGCUUGCAGUUGAUACGGGCAGGCUAGAGUUCGGUAGGGGAGACUGGAAUUCCUGGUGUAGCGGUGAAAUGCGCAGAUAUCAGGAGGAACACCGGUGGCGAAGGCGGGUCUCUGGGCCGCAACUGACGCUGAGGAGCGAAAGCAUGGGGAGCGAACAGG